rnacentral:rRNA from 1 species
CAGUGCCGCGGUAAUACAGAGGGUGCGAGCGUUAAUCGGAUUUACUGGGCGUAAAGCGUGCGUAGGCGGCUUCUUAAGUCGGAUGUGAAAUCCCUGAGCUUAACUUAGGAAUUGCAUUCGAUACUGGGAAGCUAGAGUAUGGGAGAGGAUGGUAGAAUUCCAGGUGUAGCGGUGAAAUGCGUAGAGAUCUGGAGGAAUACCGAUGGCGAAGGCACCCAUCUGGCCUAAUACUGACGCUGAGGUACGAAAGCAUGGGGAGCAAACAGGAUUAGAUACCCCAGUAGUCCCUGUCUCUUAUACA